CACUAUCGUUAACUGAAUACAUAGGUUAACGAGGCGAACCGGGGGAACUGAAACAUCUAAGUACCCCGAGGAAAAGAAAUCAACCGAGAUUCCCCCAGUAGCGGCGAGCGAACGGGGAGCAGCCCAGAGUCUGAAUCAGCUUGUGUGUUAGUGGAACGGUCUGGAAAGUCCGACGGUACAGGGUGAUAGUCCCGUACACCAAAAUGCACAGGUUGUGAACUCGAAGAGUAGGGCGGGACACGUGGUAUCCUGUCUGAAUAUGGGGGGACCAUCCUCCAAGGCUAAAUACUCCUGACUGACCGAUAGUGAACCAGUACCGUGAGGGAAAGGCGAAAAGAACCCCGGCGAGGGGAGUGAAAAAGAACCUGAAACCGUGUACGUACAAGCAGUGGGAGCACCUUCGGGUGUGACUGCGUACCUUUUGUAUAAUGGGUCAGCGACUUAUAUUCUGUAGCAAGGUUAACCGUAUAGGGGAGCCGCAGGGAAACCGAGUCUUAACUGGGCGUUAAGUUGCAGGGUAUAGACCCGAAACCCGGUGAUCUAGCCAUGGGCAGGUUGAAGGUUGGGUAACACUAACUGGAGGACCGAACCGACUAAUGUUGAAAAAUUAGCGGAUGACUUGUGGCUGGGGGUGAAAGGCCAAUCAAACCGGGAGAUAGCUGGUUCUCCCCGAAAGCUAUUUAGGUAGCGCCUCGUGAAUUCAUCUUCGGGGGUAGAGCACUGUUUCGGCUAGGGGGUCAUCCCGACUUACCAACCCGAUGCAAACUACGAAUACCGAAGAAUGUUAUCACGGGAGACACACGGCGGGUGCUAACGUCCGUCGUGAAGAGGGAAACAACCCAGACCGCCAGCUAAGGUCCCAAAGUCAUGGUUAAGUGGGAAACGAUGUGGGAAGGCACAGACAGCCAGGAUGUUGGCUUAGAAGCAGCCAUCAUUUAAAGAAAGCGUAAUAGCUCACUGGUCGAGUCGGCCUGCGCGGAAGAUGUAACGGGGCUAAACCAUGCACCGAAGCUGCGGCAGCGACACUAUGUGUUGUUGGGUAGGGGAGCGUUCUGUAAGCCUGCGAAGGUGACCUGUGAGGGUUGCUGGAGGUAUCAGAAGUGCGAAUGCUGACAUAAGUAACGAUAAAGCGGGUGAAAAGCCCGCUCGCCGGAAGACCAAGGGUUCCUGUCCAACGUUAAUCGGGGCAGGGUGAGUCGACCCCUAAGGCGAGGCCGAAAGGCGUAGUCGAUGGGAAACAGGUUAAUAUUCCUGUACUUGGUGUUACUGCGAAGGGGGGACGGAGAAGGCUAUGUUAGCCGGGCGACGGUUGUCCCGGUUUAAGCAUGUAGGCUGGUUGUCCAGGCAAAUCCGGAUAAUCAAGGCUGAGGUGUGAUGACGAGGCACUACGGUGCUGAAGUAACAAAUGCCCUGCUUCCAGGAAAAGCCUCUAAGCAUCAGGUAACAUCAAAUCGUACCCCAAACCGACACAGGUGGUCAGGUAGAGAAUACCAAGGCGCUUGAGAGAACUCGGGUGAAGGAACUAGGCAAAAUGGUGCCGUAACUUCGGGAGAAGGCACGCUGGUGUGUAGGUGAAGUCCCUGCGGAUGGAGCUGAGACCAGUCGAAGAUACCAGCUGGCUGCAACUGUUUAUUAAAAACACAGCACUGUGCAAACACGAAAGUGGACGUAUACGGUGUGACGCCUGCCCGGUGCCGGAAGGUUAAUUGAUGGGGUUAUCCGUAAGGAGAAGCUCUUGAUCGAAGCCCCGGUAAACGGCGGCCGUAACUAUAACGGUCCUAAGGUAGCGAAAUUCCUUGUCGGGUAAGUUCCGACCUGCACGAAUGGCGUAAUGAUGGCCAGGCUGUCUCCACCCGAGACUCAGUGAAAUUGAACUCGCUGUGAAGAUGCAGUGUACCCGCGGCAAGACGGAAAGACCCCGUGAACCUUUACUAUAGCUUGACACUGAACAUUGAGCCUUGAUGUGUAGGAUAGGUGGGAGGCUUUGAAGCGUGGACGCCAGUCUGCGUGGAGCCAACCUUGAAAUACCACCCUUUAAUGUUUGAUGUUCUAACGUUGGCCCCUGACCGGGGUUGCGGACAGUGUCUGGUGGGUAGUUUGACUGGGGCGGUCUCCUCCCAAAGCGUAACGGAGGAGCACGAAGGUUAGCUAAUCCUGGUCGGACAUCAGGAGGUUAGUGCAAUGGCAUAAGCUAGCUUGACUGCGAGCGUGACGGCGCGAGCAGGUGCGAAAGCAGGUCAUAGUGAUCCGGUGGUUCUGAAUGGAAGGGCCAUCGCUCAACGGAUAAAAGGUACUCCGGGGAUAACAGGCUGAUACCGCCCAAGAGUUCAUAUCGACGGCGGUGUUUGGCACCUCGAUGUCGGCUCAUCACAUCCUGGGGCUGAAGUAGGUCCCAAGGGUAUGGCUGUUCGCCAUUUAAAGUGGUACGCGAGCUGGGUUUAGAACGUCGUGAGACAGUUCGGUCCCUAUCUGCCGUGGGCGCUGGAGAAUUGAGGGGGGCUGCUCCUAGUACGAGAGGACCGGAGUGGACGCAUCACUGGUGUUCGGGUUGUCAUGCCAAUGGCACUGCCCGGUAGCUAAAUGCGGAAGAGAUAAGUGCUGAAAGCAUCUAAGCACGAAACUUGCCCCGAGAUGAGUUCUCCCUGAGACUUUAAGUCUCCUGAAGGAACGUUGAAGACGACGACGUUGAUAGGCCGGGUGUGUAAGCGCAGCGAUGCGUUGAGCUAACCGGUACUAAUGAACCGUGAGGCUUAACCUU
rnacentral:rRNA from 2 species